GGGGAGGUGCCAGAGUGGUUGAUUGGGGCUGCCUGCUAAGCAGUUGCACCGGUUAAACGGUGCCGCAGGUUCGAAUCCUGUCCUCCCCGCCA
rnacentral:tRNA from 1 species